UACGUAGGUGGCAAGCGUUGUCCGGAUUUACUGGGCGUAAAGAGCGCGCAGGCGGUCGUGCAAGUCGCGUGUGAAAGCCCCCGGCUCAACUGGGGAGGGUCACGCGAUACUGCUCGACUCGAAGGCAGGAGAGGGAAGUGGAAUUCCCGGUGUAGUGGUGAAAUGCGUAGAUAUCGGGAGGAACACCAGUGGCGAAGGCGGCGUCCUGGACCAACACUGACACUGAUGAGCGAAAGCCAGGGGAGCAAACGGG
rnacentral:rRNA from 1 species